UGUGAAAGCAGGGGACAAAGGCAGCCAUCUGGGAGCUGGGGAUGCUGAUGAGCAACUCAGAAGUGGCGCUCAGGGGUAGGAGGAGGUGUGACGAGCAGGCACGCUGGACUCAUGGUUGCUCCUUGGGGUGGCUGAAACAGCACUUCCUAUGCCCAGCACAUGGCAUGUCUGAAAGAAUUAAGACUCUCUUGAGAACAUAUAAUCACAUACCACUGUUUGUCUUUCUUUUGGCCCAACCACCAUGAUAACAGACUGGAGGACAGCACAAAGGGGCUGGGGAGGGGCAGAGGGAGGGAGUUGGAAAACAGAGUAGUAGCCAGUUUAUUUCUAAGCAUUUGCAGCUGUCAGCUUGUUUGGGGACUUUGUUUUCUCUUUUUUUAGGCAGAGGAACAAAGUCCUGCUACACAGGAUUGUUUUCCUUGGCAUGACGAACAGACACUUUCUUGAGGAACGUACUGAGAUAACACAAAACAUCUGCUAAGAGGAAUCAAUCCUCGCAGCUGAAUUUUCAUCAGCAUCAGCAAGAACACGAAGCUUCUCUCUCUCUCCCUCUCUGUAUGUGUGUGUGUGUGUGUGUGUGUGUGUGUGUGUAUGUAUGUGUGUGUAUAUAUAUGUAUAUGUAUGUAUAUAUAUAGACAGAGAGCAGGAGGCAGGAGAAUGGAUGGAUGAAGGGGCAAGAGAAUAAGCUAAGAGGAGGAGGAUAUAUAUUAUUAAGAAACAUCUGUGUUGUUCAUGUGUUUUGUUUUGUUUUGUUUUGUUUUUGCCUUGUGAUCCGAUUGCAUCUUGUUUUGCAAGUAUUUUGGAAAUGGUGUGUUCUCAGCCACGCUGCCAGAGGAGGUAUGUUUUCUUUUUCCACGUGUGUGGGAUGUUGUUUUUAUUCAUGAACUAUUGAGAAUGAGUGGUUUUUAUGACUUGUAGAGGGAUUUUCACAUCCCUCUUAUUACUGGACUCUGAAGACAGAAGGGACAGCACAAAUGCCCUCAGACAUGAAUAACAGUUUCAAGGAGAAACAUGGGCACUUCUGGUUGUUGUUGACAUGCCAUCAGGGGUCCCAAAGGAUUGGCCAGGAAAUCAGGUUUCAUCAUAUGUCCUUUGGAAGCUCCUUGGACAGUUCACAUGCUCUUCCAAUAUAUGACAUGUCUUCCAAGUAUACUUUCCAAGAAGAGUUUAUCCUUUGGAGAAGAGGCAGCUUCACCUGUCCUGUUUCAUUUGCCCUCCUGCCACCCCUGUCUUGGCAUUGAUUCAGAAGAGCCGUCUUCCUAGCGUUGGUAACAUCGGCUGCCAUUUGCCAGAUGCCUUCUGUGUGCCUGCUGGUGCUGUGCUUCUCAUUUAGUCCUUGUGGUCUCAUGAAGAGCUAGGUAUUAUUAUCACCAUUCCUCAGACAAGAAAACAGAGGCUUUUGGCAGUUAGCAAAGUUGCUUAAGGGCAAGCAGCACAGAAGUCCCACAGCUGGAAUCAUAAAUGGGAUUGAGGCCAGAGCCAGGCGUUUCACCAGUGUCCUAAACCCCCAGUGACACAUACAUUUGGGAAAGUAAAAGCCAAACUACCCUUUUCCACCUUGUCUUCUAACAAGUUUCGUUUCCCCAGCUGUGUCAAUCGUAUUUGCAUGAGAUGAAAGGAGCUGUAGAAACCCUACAAAGCUUCCUGGCAGAAUAGAAGGAGCAUAGGCUCUGAGACAGACUUGAAUUCAGAUCCCUCUUCAUCACAAACUAGCUCUAUAAAGCCCAAGUCUGUCCCUUCACCUCUUUGAGCUUUGAUUUCAGGGUAUGCAGGCGGCACAGGAGCUCAGCUCUCAUUCCAACGGUCAGCAAGUAUUUAUUCCAUACCCACCCUGCUCCAGGUGCCAGGCCACUAAGGAGACGUCACUAAGGAGACACUUGUGAGGAGGCUGGACACCGUCCCUGCUCUCACAGAGUGGCCAGUCUGGAGCAGGUAACAGACCUGAAGCAGAGACUCCCACAGAUACAUGUGGAAUUACCAUGUGUGAUCUAUGCAGGAAAAUUUCAGGAGCAGAAUAACAGAUGCCAGGGAAGCUGGGUCUGCGGAUGAUGGGAGACACUGAGCCAAGCUCUAAAGAAAGAAGAGGCAGUAACCAGGUGCUCAAUAAAGGGGCCUAUCUGCCAGUUGUUUGCAGAACUUGAGGUGUUUGGGGGCAGUUCUCCAGUAUCCCCAGAGACAACCUUUUGGUUCUUACUCUUCAGACCACAAAAGCCCAGGUUCAGCCCAGCACCGAUCACAGAUCAGAGUCUCAUUCCCAGGUGUUGGCCUUUCUCUUCCAAAGAAAAGGGAAAAUGAUGAAAACAGGAAUGAUUAACAGCCAGCUCAGAACACACAUCCCCACCCCCCAGUCUCCUGGACCUUCGUCAACCGAAGCAUUUCUGCAUAUUCUAAAGGAGUUUUUCCUUUUUUGGCCUCCAUAACAAGAUAAAAUAAGUAACACAAGCCAUUUAGGCAACUUAUUUUCUUUCAGAGGUGCCUGAAAAGGAAGGAUUGAAUGAGAUGUUUGAGGGCUUAGUGGAAGGGAGGGGCAGGAGGGAAAGAGGAAGAAAGAAAAAUGGGUUGAAGUGCAGAAAUUACUGGAAUUUUUAUUAAAUUUUCUUGGGGAGAAAGGAGAUUUCCUAAGGCAGAGAUGAAAGGCAAAUCUGCAUGGGGCCUCAGAGAAAUUAUUACGUUUCAUACUCGAUUUAGCUCUCACACUGAAUGUGGCUUGGAGAUCAGAAAGUUGUGGUUAGACACAUUCAUAAACUCAGCAGGGCUCUGUCAGAUGCGGGUUCCUGACUGAGUACCAAGGCUUCAUGAGCAACAGAGACAGGGCUACAAGGCUGUCUCAUCAGGCCUUCAAGAGAGACUCCAGGCCUGCACUCUCCUUACUCUCCACCCUCACCCCAGCACCCUGGCCUGCCUCCUCCUUAGCCUAAUUGCUCAGAAAACUCUAGUCUUGCUUUGAGUCUAACUGGUGAGCAGACUCCUGCUAGAAACUUGUAUCAGUGAUUGGUUUGGAUUCUGGCCUCUGCUUAGGCAUGUUGCCUCGGCGCACUCCAAAACUUGAGCUCAGCUGGCCCUGUUUCAGGCUCAUUAACUCCAUUUCAGUACUGGUCCGUUUGCAGAAACUAAGCUACAUCACAUGACCCAAGGCCAUCCAGGUCCAGGGUUAUCCUUGGACACCUGGAUAUCCAUCCCCUCUCUGUGGAGCACUAGUCUGAACACUUUCUCAAUGUGGGCCAACUUCUUGGAGUCUGAAAUUUUCCAGCUUUUAAGCUAAGAGCCACUGGUGGUAGCUCAGGGUAGGAUAGAGAGAAGGGCAUGUUCUGAGUCUCAAUUAUUGAUUGCAAAUCACUUAGAGAUCUUGUAAUCAAAGAUUGUUUUCUAUAUCAUCAAUACAGGCACAUAUCUAACAGUCUGGUAUUAUUGCUGAUGGUUUGUCUGGAUUAUUAUAAGACUAGUCAAAAUCUAACUCCAAACCCUUAAGAUAUACAAUCUAUUUCAGUUAGGACUGCUGGUUAAUGUUGUCUGGCAUUAACUUUCUGAGUACAGUGACUGAAAAUUAACUCUCACUACCUGAAAAAAAAAAAAAAAAAAAGAGAAGAAGGAAGAUUUCAAUGAUAAAAAGAAAGUUUCAGAGUUUUUCCUUUCCACACCCUAGGCUGGAUCACAGUGUUCCUCAUUGCAAAGUUUUCUCUUCUCCCCAAAAGCAACAUGCAGCCUUCCAUGCCAGGACUAUAUAUAUCAGGAGUCUGGCAAAAAGCUAUCCUUUCUGCUGUGGGUUUUCUUUUUUUUUUUUUGCCUCCCCCAAACAGGAGAUGAUGGAUUCACAUCUUGACUAAAUAAGACCACUGCUCUUUUCUGAUUCAAUUUUGAUCGAUGAAGUAUUCCCUGCCUUGCCUGUGCCAGGUGCUUUCAAAGGUGGAAUCAAAGUAUAACACAGUCCCUUUGUUCAGAGAACUUACAGCAAUAUAAGACAUAAGUUUGAGAAACUAGUAGAAAAUAAUGCAAGGUAGAUUAUACUCCAGGGCUUAUUUAGUACCUGCCACUGUAAGUUUUUUGCAAGUCCAGAAUUGAUGUAUUAAUGCCAAGACUGCUAUCAUGAAAAUAAAUAGCCAGGAAUUUAAUCCCAAAGUUUGUCACAAAGACCAUUUGGUCAAUGGGAUACUAAAACUAACAAUUCACAAUAGAAUACUGCAAGGCAGUAAGCUAAACCUUUUAGAUGUUUAUGUAAUUAAUCUGCACAACACCCUAAGCUACAAAUAACAUUAAUAUAUCCCCAUUUUUCUUUAAGGGAUAUAUUCUUUAAGGGGAAAGUGAGGCUUGGAGACACUACAUCAUCUGCAUAUGGCUACAUUGUGAAUAAGUGGUAAAGGUAGAAAUAAAGCCUAGGAGUUCUGGUUACAGACUCUGUGUUUUAAAUCAAUAGCUAUUAUAAGCAAAGGGGAAUCCAGAUUUAAAUAGGAUUUUUUGCUACAGAUAUUCUCAGAUCCUUUACUAUGCUUGGGUACGUUGUAAACCUCUAUGAAAACAGCAUUUUUGCCAAUAUAUUUGGUCUCAGAAUCCUCUCUUUUUAGCCAAGGAUCUCUCAAGAAUAGUGAUUUUUAAAACACAUAAUGGGGAAUACUGAAGUGGAGGGUCUAUCGUGUCUUAUGUACUCAUGAGGCAGAAGGAGGGCAUUGGUUAUGGUCCUGAUGUUGGGUCACUUGUGCCAUGUAGAACACGGGUUGCCC
rnacentral:lncRNA from 1 species